rnacentral:rRNA from 1 species
UACGGAGGCCCCAAGCGUUGUUCGGAUUUAUUGGGCGUAAAGGGCGCGUAGGCGGCCUGCUAAGUCGGAUGUGAAAUCCCUCGGCUCAACCGAGGAACUGCAUCCGAUACUGGCAGGCUUGAAUCCGGGAGAGGGAUGUGGAAUUCCAGGUGUAGCGGUGAAAUGCGUAGAUAUCUGGAGGAACACCGGUGGCGAAGGCGGCAUCCUGGACCGGUAUUGACGCUGAGGCGCGAAAGCUAGGGGAGCAAACGGG